GGGUUGUGAGGUUAAGCGACUAAGCGUACACGGUGGAUGCCCUGGCAGUCAGAGGCGAUGAAGGACGUGCUAAUCUGCGAUAAGCGUCGGUAAGGUGAUAUGAACCGUUAUAACCGGCGAUUUCCGAAUGGGGAAACCCAGUGUGUUUCGACACACUAUCAUUAACUGAAUCCAUAGGUUAAUGAGGCGAACCGGGGGAACUGAAACAUCUAAGUACCCCGAGGAAAAGAAAUCAACCGAGAUUCCCCCAGUAGCGGCGAGCGAACGGGGAGGAGCCCAGAGCCUGAAUCAGUGUGUGUGUUAGUGGAAGCGUCUGGAAAGGCGCGCGAUACAGGGUGACAGUCCCGUACACAAAAAUGCACAUGCUGUGAGCUCGAUGAGUAGGGCGGGACACGUGGUAUCCUGUCUGAAUAUGGGGGGACCAUCCUCCAAGGCUAAAUACUCCUGACUGACCGAUAGUGAACCAGUACCGUGAGGGAAAGGCGAAAAGAACCCCGGCGAGGGGAGUGAAAAAGAACCUGAAACCGUGUACGUACAAGCAGUGGGAGCCUCUUUUAUGGGGUGACUGCGUACCUUUUGUAUAAUGGGUCAGCGACUUAUAUUCUGUAGCAAGGUUAACCGAAUAGGGGAGCCGAAGGGAAACCGAGUCUUAACUGGGCGUUAAGUUGCAGGGUAUAGACCCGAAACCCGGUGAUCUAGCCAUGGGCAGGUUGAAGGUUGGGUAACACUAACUGGAGGACCGAACCGACUAAUGUUGAAAAAUUAGCGGAUGACUUGUGGCUGGGGGUGAAAGGCCAAUCAAACCGGGAGAUAGCUGGUUCUCCCCGAAAGCUAUUUAGGUAGCGCCUCGUGAAUUCAUCUCCGGGGGUAGAGCACUGUUUCGGCAAGGGGGUCAUCCCGACUUACCAACCCGAUGCAAACUGCGAAUACCGGAGAAUGUUAUCACGGGAGACACACGGCGGGUGCUAAC
rnacentral:rRNA from 1 species